GGCGCGAUGCGGUGCGAUGCGUGCGUCACGCGCUCGCAAUCUCGGCCCUCCCGCCGCAUCUUCCGGCGCUGGUCACCCGAGUCCCGCCCCCUCUCUCCGGAGUCGUAAUUGUCACGCCCCCUGCUUCACUGGACGCGAGUCGCCGCGAUCACUAUGCUCGCGACAUCGCUCAUGGCGCCGCGCACCACUCGCGCGCAGGAUGCCAUCGCCCGGGAUCCGGAUGUCGUCGGCGCUGAACGCCUCUUCUCGGCGUGGAUGGAAGGCCAGAUCGCGUACCGGGGAUUGCCCGGCAUUGCCGUGGGCGUGGUGUACGACCAGCAACUCGUCUGGUCGACGGGCUACGGCUUUGCGGAUCUGGCGCGCAAGGUGCCGAUGACUGCGCAGACGAAGUUCCGCAUGGCCUCGCACAGCAAGAUGUUCGCCGCCAUCGCCAUCAUGCAGCUCCGCGAACAGGGCAAGCUCCGGCUCGACGAUCCGGUCGAGAAGCACCUCCCGUGGUUCCACGCGCAGCCGGCAACGCCCGACGACGGCCCCAUCACGAUCGAGCAUCUGCUCUCCCACGAGUCGGGCUUGCAGCGCGAAGCCGGUGAUCACUGGUCGAGCAA
rnacentral:misc_RNA from 1 species